UACGUAGGGGGCAAGCGUUGUCCGGAAUCAUUGGGCGUAAAGAGCGUGUAGGCGGCUCGGUAAGUCCGCUGUAAAAGUCAAAGGCUCAACCUUUGAAUGUCAGUGGAUACUGCCGGGCUAGAGUCCGGAAGAGGCGAGUGGAACUCCUGGUGUAGCGGUGGAAUGCGCAGAUAUCAGGAGGAACACCGGUGGCGAAGGCGGGUCUCUGGGCCGAUAUUGACGCUGAGGAGCGAAAGCGUGGGGAGCAAACAGG
rnacentral:rRNA from 1 species